UACGUAGGGUGCAAGCGUUAAUCGGAAUUACUGGGCGUAAAGCGUGCGCAGGCGGUUCUAUAAGACAGAUGUGAAAUCCCCGGGCUCAACCUGGGAACUGCAUUUGUGACUGUAGAGCUGGAGUACGGCAGAGGGGGAUGGAAUCCGCGUGUAGCAGUGAAAUGCGUAGAUAUGCGGAGGAACACCGAUGGCGAAGGCAAUCCCCUGGGCCUGUACUGACGCUCAUGCACGAAAGCGUGGGGAGCAAACAGG
rnacentral:rRNA from 1 species